AUUAUUUCCCAUGUUUCCCAGGUGGACAGCCACUCGUUUUUCUGGAACAUUCCCAUUAUUUAUUUCCCAUGUUCCCAGGUGGACAGCCACUCGUUUUUCUGGAACAUUCCCAUUAUUUUCCCCAUUAUUUUCCCCAUUAUUUCCCAUGUUUCCCAGGUGGACAGCCACUCGUUUUUCUGGAACAUUCCCAUUAUUUCCCCAUUAUUUUCCAUGUUUCCAGGUGGACAGCCACUCGUUUUUCUGGAACNUUUUCAAUAUUUUCCCAUUCCCAGAGAUCGUGUGUGAUCCCCUGCUGGAUUUCAAUGUCUGGAGCUCCCUGAAUCCCUUUUUUCCCGUAAAAACUCCAUUUUUUUCCAUAAAAACUCCCAGAAAAAUCCCAUUUUUAGCAGGAUUUCCCUGGAUUUUUCCCAACCCCUGGAAUUUUUUCAAUGUUUUCCCGUUCCCAGAGAUUGUGUGUGAUCCCCUGCUGGAUUCCAACCUCUGCCCCUCCCUAAAUCCCUUUUUUCCUGUAAAAACUCCAUUUUUUUCCAUAAAAACUCCCAGAAAAAUCCCAUUUUUAGCAGGAUUUCGGGGUUUUUCCCAACCUCUGGAAUAUUUUCUCCUUCCCAGAGAUUGUGUGUGA
rnacentral:lncRNA from 1 species